AUUUGAGAAAUUCCAUCAAACCCUUGGGGAAAGGAGGAGGCGCCACCACGACUCUGGUUGUUGUAGUAGGGGUGCUGCUGGUUGUUGUUGGAGCCUCCACCGUAGCCACCAUAGCCACCACCUUUACCAUGGACAUAGCCUCCAGGUUGGCCACGGUAGAAGCCACCACCAUAGCUACCAUAGCCGCCAGAUCGGCCGCCCUGACCGUUGUUGUUGCUGCGGUAGCCGCCGCCGCCGCCCUGGCCAGGGUAGCUGCCUAGGAUGGAUCUGCCGCCGCUGUUUUGUCCUUGAGGCCACAGACAAAGCUAUCCUUGCGCUGUUAUUGAUGGCUAUUGUCCUUGCCUUGCUGCCUACAAGAUUGCUUAUCCUGGCGAUGUUUCUGGAGGUGUUCACGAACCACUCUCCACUAAGGAGAGCAAGCACAGAGAGAUGCACCAGAAGGUUGAGAGAGUGGUAGUUCAGCAUACCUGCAACGCCAGUAGUGGUGGAGAAGGAUAACAAAGAAGAUAAGAAGACAAAAUGAAUUUGUGUGUAUAAACUGUGAUUCCGUGUCUAGUUUGGCUGAUGUGGUGAUGGAUCACCAGCGCACCGCUGUGUACAAUGUCUGAGGAUAUGAUAAAUGAACUGCAGUUAGUAUUUCAAUAAGAAUGUUAGCUCCUUUUUGCUCCUUUCUGUGCUCUACCCUGAUAUCUCAAAACUAGUCUAUUUCAUGGGAAUGUAUUAUGCAUGUGCUCUACCCUGAUAUCUCAAAACUAGUCUAUUUCAUGGGAAUGUAUUAUGCAUGUGCAUGUGUUUGAGUUUCAGUGUA